rnacentral:rRNA from 1 species
UACGUAGGGUGCGAGCGUUAAUCGGAAUUACUGGGCGUAAAGCGUGCGCAGGCGGUUUUGUAAGACAGGCGUGAAAUCCCCGAGCUCAACUUGGGAAUUGCGCUUGUGACUGCAAGGCUAGAGUGUGUCAGAGGGGGGUAGAAUUCCACGUGUAGCAGUGAAAUGCGUAGAUAUCCGGAAGAACACCGAUGGCGAAGGCAACCGCCUGGGCCUGUACUGACGCUGAGGUACGAAAGCGUGGGGAGCAAACAGG